rnacentral:rRNA from 1 species
UACGUAGGGUGCAAGCGUUAAUCGGAAUUACUGGGCGUAAAGCGUGCGCAGGCGGUUGUGCAAGACAGAUGUGAAAUCCCCGGGCUCAACCUGGGAAUUGCAUUUGCGACUGCACGGCUAGAGUGUGUCAGAGGGGGGUAGAAUUCCACGUGUAGCAGUGAAAUGCGUAGAGAUGUGGAGGAAUACCGAUGGUGAAGGCAGCCCCCUGGGAUAACACUGACGCUCAUGCACGAAAGCGUGGGGAGCAAACAGG